UCACCCGCGCCCCAGAUCAACUCCCAGGCGGGCUCCGUGCUGGGGUUCAUCCUGUGCAGUAACAGGUGUGAGCAUCCAUGCAGCGUUUUGAUGGUCAUGUAUGAUACUGCAUACAACA
rnacentral:snoRNA from 1 species